rnacentral:rRNA from 1 species
UACGGAGGGUGCAAACGUUGCUCGGAAUCACUGGGCGUAAAGGGUGCGUAGGCCGCACGGUAAGUCAGAGGUGAAAUCCCGGAGCUCAACUCCGGAAUGGCCUCCGAUACUGCCGUGCUCGAGGACUGGAGAGGAGUCUGGAAUUCACAGUGGAGCAGUGAAAUGCGUAGAUAUUGUGAGGAACACUAGUGGCGAAGGCGAGACUCUGGACAGUUCCUGACGCUGAGGCACGAAGGCCAGGGGAGCAAACGGG